ACAAACUUGGUCAUUUAGAGGAAGUAAAAGUCGUAACAAGGUCUCCGUAGGUGAACCUGCGGAGGGAUCAUUACUGAGCGAGGGCCCCCGGCCCGACCUCCAACCCUUUGUUAAUCAAACCACUGUUGCCUCGGGGGUGACCCGAGUCUCCGGACUUUCGGGGCCCCCGGUGGACAUCCCAUCAAAACACCGCAUCUAUACGUCGGAAUAUUGAAAUCAAAUUGAUUGAAAACUUUCAACAACGGAUCUCUUGGUUCUGGCAUCGAUGAAGAACGCAGC
rnacentral:misc_RNA from 1 species